GUCUGGGUGGUGUAGUUGGUUAUCACGCUAGUCUUACACACUUGAGGUCCCAGUCCAAACCUGGGCUUAGACA